CCUACGGGUGGCAGCAGUGGGGAAUAUUGCACAAUGGGGGGAACCCUGAUGCAGCGACGCCGCGUGCGUGAAGAAGUAUUUCGGUAUGUAAAGCUCUAUUUGUAGGGAAGAAAAUGACGGUACCUGUCUAAGAAUCCCCGGCUAACUACGUGCCAGCAGCGGCGGGAAUACGUAGGGGGCCGGCGUUAUCCGGAUUUACUGGGUGUAAAGGGAGCGCAGUCGGCUGUGCAAGUCUGGAGUGAAAGGCGGGGGCCCAACCCCCGGACUGCUCGGGAAACUGUAAAGCUGGAGUGCAGGAGAGGUAAGCGGAAUGCCUAGUGUAGCGGUGAAAUGCGUAGAUAUUAGGAAGAACACCAGUGGCGAAGGCAGCUUACUGGACUGCAACUGACGUUGAGGCUCGAAAGCGUGGGGAGCAAACAGGAUUAGAUACCCGUGUAGUC
rnacentral:rRNA from 1 species